GAUUAUUGGCCAAUGGGGGCAACCCUGAUCCAGCCAUGCCGCGUGUGUGAAGAAGGUCUUCGGAUUGUAAAGCACUUCAAGUUGGGAGGAAGGGCUUUAGGCUAAUACCCUGAACUUUUCACGUUACCAACAGAAAAAGCCUCGGCUAACUCUGUGCCAGCAGCCGCGGUAAUACAGAGGGUGCAAGCGUUAAGCGGAAUUACUGGGCGUAAAGCGCGCGUAGGUGGUUCAGUAAGAUGGGUGUGAAAUCCCCGGGCUUAACCUGGGAACUGCUUUCAUAACUGCUGAGCUAGAGUACGGUAGAGGGUAGUGGAAUUUCCUAUGUAGCGGUGAAAUGCGUAGAUAUAGGAAGGAACACCAGUGGCGAAGGCGACUACCUGGACUGAUACUGACACUGAGGUGCGAAAGCGUGGGGAGCAAAC
rnacentral:rRNA from 1 species